AAAUCUGACUUGAUACGUAAUUUAAAAAUCCAAGUUUCGGGUAUAGUUUCACUUUAAUUUGAUAUAUUCUAUUGCUGUCUUAUUUAAAGUUCUGUGGCUCCAUUUCCAGUUUUGCUAAUUGACAGACUAGGUAAUUUGGACCAACCCUUCCUCCAAGUAAAAUUAGAAAAGUAGGACCAAACGUAUGCAUUUUAAAAACAAGAACCUAUUUGAAAGCAUUGGAAAGGAAACGACAGGAAAGAAUUACCAGAUUUGGAUUGUGACCCUGGCUUUUGAGUCUACUUUUCCCCUGUGAGCAUUUGUCAGUUUUGGUUGGGUGGGUGAAAGCACUUAUACUAGCUUCACAGGGUUGCAGGGAUUGGAGCUCAGUGCCUGACAUUGUAUGGGUGAUUACUUUAAGUCCCCAAAGGGGUAUAUUAUAGGGGAAACCAGAAGAUAAGUCUUCAUAGAGAUUGCAUCUGAACUUCAUAUCAGUCUCUGAAAUUGAAUUGAGGUGACCCUUGAUUGCUAAUAUCCACAGGAUGCAAACUUAAAUCCUCUGAAAAAAGAUAAGAUGAUCUAAGUGCUUUAUUUUUUUCAGUUUUGUAACUACAAUAACUAGAGCACAAUAAAAAAUAAACAGACAUAGUAAAAGGGAAGACAGCAUGAAUUAAACCAGCCUAAGCAACAGACUAGAAACAGUCACAGCAGCUCUAAAUAUUGGAAUUAUCAGACAGCUUGAAAGUAGCUAUGCUUACAAGAUGAAAGACAAGAUUGAAAAUUUUAACUGAGAACUGGAAACUGUUUUUAGAAUGAAAAUAUCAUUCUGCUUCUGGCCCCUCCCAAAUUUCAUGUCUUCACAUUUCAAAACCAAUCAUGCCUUCCCAACAGUCUCCCAAAGUCUUAACUCAUUUAAGCAUUAACUCAGAAGUCCAAAGUCCAACGUCUCAUCUGAGAUAAGCCAAGUCCCUUCUGCCUAUGAGCCUGUAAAAUCACCAGCAAAUUAGUUAAUUCCUAGAUACGAAGAGAAUACAGGCAUUAGGUAAAUAGAGCCAUUCCAAAUGGGAGAAAUUGGCCAAAACAAAACUACAGGCCCCAUGCAAGUCCAAAAUCCAACGGGGCAGUCAAAUCUUAAAGUUCCAAAAUGAUCUCCUUUGACUCCAUGUCUCACACCCAGGUCACACUGAUGCAAGAGGUGGAUUCCCGUAGUCUUGGAGAGCUCCACCACUGUGGCAUUGCAGGGUACAGCUUCCCUCCUGGCUGCUUUCACGAGCUGGCAUUGUCUGUGGCUUUUCCAGCAAGUUCCUCAUCUCCAUCUGAGACCACCUCAGCCUGGAUUUCAUGUCCAUCAUUAUCAGCAUUUUGGUCAAAGCCAUUGAACAAGUCUCUACGGAGUUCCAAAUUUUACCACAUUUUCCUGUCUUCUGAGCCCUCUAAACGAUUCCAACCUCUGCCUGUUAACCAGUUCCAAAGUCACUUCCACAUAUUGGGGUAUCUUUUCAGCAGCACCCCACUUCUGGUACCAAUUUUCUGUAUUAGUCCAUUUUCACACUGCUGAUAAAGAUAUACUCAAGACUGAGUAAUUUACAAAAGACAGAGGUUUGUUGGACUCGCAGUUCCACCUGGCUAGGGAGGCUUCACAAUCAUGGUGGAAGGUGAAAGGCAUGUCUCACAUGACAGCAGAAAAGAGAAGAAAGCUUGUACAGGGAAUCUCCCUUUUUUAAAACCAUCAGAUAUCGUGAGACUUAUUCACUAUCACGAGAACAGUUUGGGAAAGACCUGCCCCCAUGAUUCAUUUACCUCCCACUGGGUCCCUUCCACAACAUAUGGGAAUUCAAGUUGAGAUUUGGAUGGGGACACAACCAAACCAUAUCAGAGGAGUCUUUUUCAUUCCUUUAAGCCAUCAGUUUCUUUUCUUUUUGACAAAUAAUAAUUGUAAGUAUUUAUGGGGUACAAUGUGGUGUUUUCAUAUACAUGUACAUUAUGGAAUGAUUAAAUCAAACUAAUGAGCAUAUCUGUCAUCUCACAUGCUUUUUUUGUAGUGGGAACGUUUAAAAUCUUACUCUCUUAACAAUAUUGAAAUAUCCACUACAUUAUUAUUAACUGCAGUCACUCUGCUAUGCAAUACAUCUCAAAAACUUACUCUUUUUGUGUAAUUAGCUGAAACUUUGUAGCCUUGGACCAACAUCUUGGCAUCCUCCCACUCCCACCCCCCACCUCUGGUAACUACCAUUCUAUUCUCUAUUUCUCUGAGUUCAAUUUUUUAAGAUUCCACAUAUAAAUGAGAUCAUGCAGUAUUUCUUUCUGUAUGUGAUUUAUUUUACUUAGCAUAAUGUCCUCCAAGUUCGUGUAAAGCUGAAUAGUAUUCCAUUAUAUACAGUUUAACCUUGACAACGUGGGGGCAAGGGGCACUGACCCUCCACUCAGUUGAAAAUUCAGGUAUAAUUUGAUUCCCUGACCCAAAAGCUUAACUACUAAUAGCCUACUGUUGACUGAAAAUCUUACCAAUAACAUAAACAAUUAACCCAUAUAAGCUAGAGAAAAGAAAAUAUUAUUAAGAAAAUCAUAAAAGAAAACAUAUUUACUGUUUAUUAAAUGAAGUGAAUUAUAAAGGUCUUCAUCCUCAUCUUCACAUGGAGUAGGCUGAGAAGGAGGAGAAGGAGGUGGGGUUGGUCUUUCUCUGGAGUGGCAGAAGAGGAAGAAAAUUUGCAUAUAACUGGUUCCUCACAGUUCAAACCUGUGUUUUCCAAGGGUCAGCUGUAUACCAUGUUUUCUUAUCCAUUUAUUUGUUGAUGGGCACUUAGGUUGAUUUCAUAUCUUUGCUAUUGUGAAUAAUGCAAUGAAUAGAAGAGUGCACAUGUUUUUUUCAGUAUCCUAAUUUUAACUCUUUUGAAAUUGGAGUGGGAUUCAAUGCUCAGAAGUGUAAUUGCUAGGUCAUAUUGCCAUUCUGUAUUUAGUAUUUGAGGACCUCCAUAUUAUUGUCCAUAAAAGCUGUGCUGAUUUACAUUCCCACCAGCGUUACAAGAGUUCCCUUUUCUCCACAUUCUUGCCAACGCUUGUUAUCUUUCAUCUUUUUUUAACACACCCCACUUCACAGAUGUCAUUUGUCUUUUUGAUGAUAGAAAUUCUAGCAGUUGUGAGGUGAUACCUCAUUGUGGUUUUAAUUUAAACUUCCCUGAUGUUAAUGAUAUUGAGCAUUUUUUCAUAUACCUGUUUGUUAUUUGUAUGUCUUUUUUUGAGAAAUGUUUAUUCAGGUUCUUUGCUCGUUUUUUAAGUGGGUUAUUUGUUUUCUUGCCGUUUAGGUGUUGGAGUUCCUUAUAACCCCCUAACUGAUCAAUGGUUUGCAAAUAUUUUCUCCCAAUCCACAUGUUGUCUUUUCACUCUGUUGUUUCCUUUGUUGUGAGGAAGCUUUAUAUUGAUAGUUUGAUGCAUUCAUUCUUGUCUGUUUUUGCUUUUGCAGUUGUAGCCAAAAAAUUUUUCAGACCAUUAUGGAGCUUUUACCUUAUGUUUUCUAGUAGUUUUACAGUUUUCAGUCUUAUGUUUAAGCCUCUAAUCAUUUUGAGUUGAGUGUUGUAUAUGGUGUGAGAUACUCAACUUCAUUCUUCUGCAUAUGGAUACCCAGUUUUCCCAACACCAUUUAUUGAAGAGACUAUCUUUUCCCCCAGAGAGAUUCUUUUUUCUUCCUCCCUGGCCUCCCCAGAGAGAUUCUUGAAAGAAGGCAGAGAGAAAAUAUUGUCAGUUAGACUGACAGCCAACUUCUCAAUGAAAUGGUGGAAGCCAACACACAGUGAAACCAGAUAGUGUGGCAAGGAAAACAUUUGCAAACCUAGAAUUCUACAUCCAGUGAAAAUCUCUAGACAGUGGUAAAAUAAAGACAUUUUAAAAUAAAUAAACCUGAAAAAUUUUCAGUCAGCAAACCUACACUAAAGAAAACCUUAAAGAAUAUGCUUAGGGCAGAAAGAAAAAGAUUCCAGAUGAAAGUCUUAUCUUUUUUAUUAACAAUGAUUUAUCUAGAGAUUGGAGUUAGGUAAAGGAACUUAUAUAUGUUCUGUAUCUGUGGAUCUGUGACAUGACUCUUAUCUGAAACUAUUGGAAUGAAAUAUGAAGUGUUUUAAGUAUACAAAUGAAUAUAUUUGUUCCUAUGUGAUGAUGCCUGUGUAAAGGGACACAAUAUUUUUGUUGGGGGUAGACCCUGAGUCCAUAGUAACUUCUGUUGAGGCUGCAGAUACCCUAUUAUUGUUUUGUCAGCUCUGAACCAUAACAUACAUACUUAGCUACUCACCAAUCCUAAGUGGAUAGCGAAUAGUAAAAGGCAGUACUUGUAAAGGACACUUAUUACUCCUUUAGCCCUUCAGAAGUGACCCCAAAAAGUACACUCUAUCCUCAGGGGAAAAAAAAGCAGUGGUCAUUAGGGUGGACAUUUUCUGUUGUGGCUUGAGACAUCAGGAAUCAUAUUAAAAGUUUCUGUAGCUUUAGGGUUAGGGGAGUCAGGGAUCAGGAUAACAGAUUUCCUAAUUUCCCCUCUCUGAAACCAAGUGCAGCAAAACUUGGCUUGGGAACCCAUCAACUAUGCUAUAAUACUUUCUAUGCAGUUAUAACUAUGCACCUUUGUUUUCAGUUAUAUCGUUAAAUUUUAUUCUCUCUAAUUUCUAACAAAACUUUUUUGUUAUAUGAUGAAAUACUAUUCUGAAACAUUGAACUAAAACUGUGUUCUUAAGCAGAUGUUUUGCUUACCUAAAUUUCUUUUGAUUCUUGGCCUUUAAAAAUACUUGCUGAAUGAAUUAAUAUACUGUCUUGUAUUGUAUUUGUGUUCAUGUAACCUGCAAACUCCUCAAAAAAAGACAUCAUAAUAUUUUGAGUAAGAGCAGAGCCAGGCUACCUAGGUUGAAAUCUCUCAGAUUCCCCACUUAUCAGCUUUGUGACCUUGCUGAAGUUCCUUAACCACACGGUGCUUCAGUGUCCUCAUCUCUAAAGUGCCCAUAAUAAUAGCCACUUAUCUUCUAGGGUUGUUAUAAUGUUAAAAUGUGGUGAUGCACAUAAAGCGUUUGGAACAGUUCCUGAUACACAGCAAGAGCGAUACAUGUUUGCUAUUAGUAUUAUAUUUUUAAUUACCCCUAGCAUUACGCAGCAUGUUUGUACAUAAUGCAUAAUUAAUAUGUAAUUUUUGUAAUAAAUGAUACAACCCUUCAAGCUUGGCCUUUAUCUUUUUUGUUGCAUAAUUAAAUGAUAAUUGGAACCAAAGAAAUGCUGAAGUGGAGUAGGGAGAUACUUCUAAUAUCUAAUAGGCUCACUUGAAACUAAAUGGUAAUAAUCAAUUACCAUUUAAGAAAAGCGGUUUUGCUGACAUGAACCAUUCAUAUGUACAUAUAAUUACUUCAAAAUUACCAUUUUGCCCCUUGGGAUAUAAUCUCCAGCCCAUUUUGCCUAUUUUCAAAAGCAACAAAAAUUUUUAAAUGUGUUCAGCUACAAGAAAGUAGGUGUUUAUUAUUGGCUUAAUAUUUUUAUUACAUUUAUAUUAUGUUCUCUCUUCCCUUCUCCAUCACAUUAUGACAUUUCACAACUCAGUCUUUUUUUUUUAAAAGGCAUAUCUACUUUCCAAAUUUAUGUAAGUUUUAUCUAAGACAGGAAUCCCUUCCUUCUUAGUAACAUUUUCUUGGGGUGUGUAAAACAUCAGAUUUCAGUAAACUAGAAAAGUAAAGCACAUUUGAGAAGCUAUGCAAUACUGUAUUCCAGUCUGCUUUCAUUAAAGUACAAAAGAUGUCUAUAAUAAAAUUUAUUUAUACUAGUGGUUCUCAAAACUGACUGAUAAUCAGAAAACCCUGGGGCUCUUUCAAAAACAAUUAACAAAACAAUUCUAUUUUUAGACCUGUGAAUACAUAUUUUGGGGGAGGAAGAAGGAGGGUAUAGAUCUGUAUUUUGAAAAGUUCCCCAGGUCUCCUUGGGAAAUUAUAUGAACAAUCAUGUUUGGGAACAAAUGAAUCAUGUUACCACUGGGAAGAAGUUUGUUAUACAUCCUAACCAAGAAACCUAAAUGGUUCUUAAGCAUCUGCUAGCAGAAACAGUUAUAAUUAUGAAUACCUAAUGUCUGUUAGAUUUUGCUGAUCCCUCACCUACCUCAGGAAGAAACAAAUCCAAAAAAGUAAGAUACGGUCUUUUUUAUUUGUGUUAAUUUAAAAAUGCUACUCCUAAAAAUAUGCUAACUUCCCACACUUAUAAAGGUAUUUCUUAUCUUAAAUUCCUCAAUGAAUGCUGAGAAGACAACAUCUUCUUCUCUUUCUUCCUUCCUUCCUUCAACUCUGUUUCUCUUCUUCCUUUUAUCUUUCCUUUCUUUUCUUCUUUCCUCUGACUGGAUUGUUUAUAACACUUUAGAAAAUUUCCCUGACUGGAAGAGGGCCAAUCUGAAUGAACUUUUUUCUGUCUUGGGAGUAAAAGGAAAGAAGAUUCUGAGCAUGGACCCUGACUUCCAGGAAGACUCCCAUCUCCUCCUCAGUGCCCCACUCUUCCCUCAGUAUCCAGAAUAGAGUGGGGUGGGGAAGUAGAAAAGGAAGGAAAUAAGGUGGUAGAAAACUGAGGCAACCCUAGUAAUUGUUUUCUCUAAGUAAAUUAUAGGAAGUAUACAUUUUCUUUAACCUUAAUGUCCACUACUGUGUGGACAUCCUCUGGGAAAACAUCUGUUGCAUUAGAUACUUUAUGGUGAAUAUUAUAAUAAAAUAAAAUAUGAUUUAUGAGGUCUGCUAGUUGACAUUUUAAAUUUUUCAUUAUUAUCAUUUUUAUAUUUUUGUAAUAGAGUUUGACCUACAUUAGAAUGAUUCUUAACUUUUUUCCUCAGUAAAUCCUUUUUUAAAAAGAGUGUUCUGUGUAUGCCAAUCUUGAAGCAUAGAAUUGAUGCCAGUUUUUAAGCUACUUGCUGUUUUUGGUUUUAGUCCUGCCUUUUUUAAGGGAAGAAAAAAAUAAUAUUAAUUUGAGGGUGUAUUAUGAAUUAUGCCAUUAUCCUAACAGUAACUUUUAUUAUAAUCUCACCAUGCUAAAAAGUAUCCAAAAUAUUUUGAGAUGGGAAGGGAUUUGAGUUUGGUUUCUAAUGUUUAUCUUUUGGUAAUCCCUACCAAAUCUUCAUAGUAAUAGUAGAAAGAAGGAAAGUGAAUAUUGGAUAUUAUUUUCUUUACUUAAAAGCUUUUGAUGAAUACUGUUUGAAUUGGUUUAAUAUGCUGAAGUGUAUGUAAUGGAAAAACAUUAUUAUUUUCUAAAUUGAAUAAAAUGGAUUUAAUAAAUACUGAAAGCAGAAUUAACUAAGCAAAAAUAUGUAUUUUCUGCUUAGAAAAUGGAUGGCAGUUGCUUAAGAAAAAAGUUUUUUUUACUAAUUUAAAAAUAUACAGAUUAUCUGGGGAAAAGAAACUUUUUUUUGUAUUUUACUUGUACAGUCUCACAUAUAACCACUGUUGUUCUCAUGACACUCUCUUAUAUUGAUGUGAUCUUUAUAUGGUUUGUGCCAUUUUUAUCUCUUAUUCCAUUAUAUCUUAAAUUCCAUUUUAUUCAUCAGUUUCCCAAAUAAAGCUAUCAGGGUUGACAUCAGCUAUUCCCAGGAAAACAAAAAGGUUAUUACUGCUGAACACUGGAAUAAUUCGAUUAUGUAGAUUGAAGAAAAGUCAAUCUGUUAUAAUUGCUUUAAAGAAGCCAUUUAAUUUUGUGCCUGUUUGCAUUAGUCUUUUUUUUAACUAGAUAUGCAGAUUAGUGGGAUGAAAAUAUAGAUUCUUUAUUUGAAUUGUGAUCGCCAACUAAAAGAUGAAUAUGAGGGCAGAAAAUGAAUCUAAAUCUUUUGGUUUAAAUGAUAAAGUCUUUACACAUUGUAGAGAAUUAAAUAAGCAGUUGGUCAUACUUUUAUUUAUCUUCAGGAUCUUUUGCUGUCUGAUAAAAGUAGAAAGCUUUAGGGAAUAGAUUGUGUAGAAAGUAAAUCCGACUUCAAGAUUCAGUUCCUUUUUGAUAAUUUAUUGUUUUAAAUCCUAAAUAUCUGAAGCAGUGAUGCCAUGACUCACCAAACAUAUCUUUGUGAAAUGAUUUCCGGAGAUUGGGAGAAAAAAAAUACUAAUAGUUGAUUUUGCUUUAAGUGUUUUUUAUUUCUCACAACAUUCCAAAUGUUUGUUUUAGGAGAUACAAGAGUUUAUCAUUUUUUCUUUUAAUUCCUAAGAAGACUUGUUACAACUUUCAAAAAAAGUUCUCAUGGAACCUGAUAAAUAAGAAGUUAAAUGUCUCAUUUCAUUACGAACUAUCUAAAUAUUUUUGUCAGAUUCGGAAUAUGUAACUGAAUGUAUGUAAUUCUUUUUUGUAGCAGCCAAGAAUAAUUUAAGUUUCACAACUAAUACUGAUAUGCCUUUAUCAUUUUUUUGCUAACCAGCCAAAUCUGUAUUCCCAUGAUCAUCCUUAAUGUUUGUACUAGUAGAGGACUACAGUGGUGCAAAUUGAACCAAAAUAGCAACUAAUAAGAAGGAAUAAAUGAGGCCGGGCACAGUGGCUCAAGCCUGUAAUUCCAGCACUUUGGGAAACCGAGGUGGGAGGAUCACUUGAGGCCAGGAGUUUGAGACCAGCCUGCCCAACAUGGUGAAACCCCGUCUACACUGAAAAUACAAUAAUUAGGCAGGCAUGGUAGUGCACACCUGUAAUCCCAGCUGCUUAAGAGGCUAAGGCAGGAGAAUCACUUGAACCCGGGAGGUGUAGGUUGCAGCGAGCAGAGAUUGCACCACCACAUUCCAGCCUGGGCAACAGAGCAAGACUCUGUCUCAAAAAAAAAAGAAUGAGUAAUUGAUACAGAGACUUAUAUGGGUAUUUGCAUUUAAAAAUAAUUUUAUAUUCUGAACAGAAUAAAAUAGUUAUACCUUUCCCAAUUAACAAAUUAGCCUUGCAACUUCAGAGUUCAAUAAGAGUCCCUGUUUAUUACCAAUAUUCUUAUUUCCUCAAAGUUUUUUGUUUUGUAAAGGAUUGAGACCUUCUGAUUCUACAUCUUUUACAUUUUACUGGAUUUUUGAGAUCUGACAACUGAUUUUCCCUUUACUAAUAGAAAGCAUGAAAUGUCAUUGAUAGCAAAACAAAUUCUAAGAUCCCUUAUGGAGAUCUCACUGUUCUUACUGGUAGGGAAAGCCCAAUUAUAACGUAGACUUUACAUUCUCCAUCAGAGUAUCUGCUGUGUUAAAACAGGUUCCUAGUCAUCUUAGAAUAGAGAAAACCGUUUAUUUUAUCCGGUGCGUGGUUGUGCUUUAUGCAUUAAAUUCAUGCUUUUGCAUACUUGUGUUUCCUUUUCAUUUUGUCCUUCCAAAUCAUUAUUUUAGGAAUAUAGAGGAAAGGGUUGGCCAGGUGCAGUGACUCACACCUGUAAUCCCAGCACUUUGGGAGGUCGAGGUGGGUGGAUCACUUGAGGCUGGGAUUUCAAGACCAGCCUAACCAACAUGCAACACCCUGUCUCUACUAAAAAUACAAAAAGUAGCCUGGCAUAUUGGCGCAUGCUUAUAAUCCCAGCUACUGAGAUGGCUGAGAGAUGAGAAUCGCUUGAACCCAGGAGGCAGAGAUUGCAGUGAGCCAAGAUCGUGGCACUGCACUCCAGCCUGGGUGACAGAGUGUGAAACUCUGUCUCAAAAAAAAAAAGAAAAAAAAAAAAGAGAGAACAGGGUCAUUUUUCAAGAGUAAUAACUUCGGGAUGGUUGUGGGUUCUGGCUUUUGGUUUUUUGUUAGUCUUUGUUUAAAUGCCAUAUUAACUCCAAACUCACACAUCUAAUGUAACUAAUGGUGGUGGGAGUGGGGAAGGUUUUGGGACGAGGGAUAAUAUUAGUAAAUUGUUUAAAGGUAUAUUUAUCCUAUCAAAUGAAAUCUAUCAAAAGCAUAGGUAACUUAGAAGCUUUUAUGUAUCCUAUGUAUUUUAGAUACAGAGAUUUGCAUCAACCAAAGUUACUAAGAAUGAAACUGUUGGCUCUGAAUAGGUGUGAAUAAAUCCUUAGGAAGAGAUUUCCUACCUGCCCUUUAGGUGCCAUGUUUCUUACAGCUGUCAAUAUUUUUUAAAAAUGAGAUUUUGGUUCUUUGCAUGAAUUGCAUUUGAAUUAUGCAAUUUUGGGGGGUUUUCUUUGUGGGGUUUUUUUGUUUUUUUGUUUUUUUUUUUUUUUUUGAGACAGGGUCUUGGUCUGUCACCUAGGCUGUAGUGCAGUGCAGCCAUGCCUCAUUGCAGCCUUGUAGUGCAGUGCUCAUUGUAGUGCAGUGCAGCCAUGGCUCAUUGCAGCCUUGACCACCCAGGUUCAAGUGAUUUUUCCAUUACAACCUCUCAAGUAGCUGGAAUCACAGGCAUGCACCACUGCACUCGGCUGAUUUUUUUUUAUUUUUUGUAAAGAUGAGUUUUGCUGUGCUGCCCAAGCUGUUCUCAAACCCCUGGACUCUCAAACCCCCACCUUGCCUCGCAAAGUGCUGGGAUUACAAGUGUGAGUUACCACACCUGGCUUAGUUUUGUCUUAUUAUGCUUAACUAAAUUAUACAAGUUAUAUAUCAGGAGAGUCAAAUCAAAAUAACCACAAACUUUCUUCUCAAAUAAAUAAAUAAACUAAUGUCUGACCAAGCAGAAACGUCUUUAGCAUUUAGUCCCUCUUACUGUAGUUACAUUUUACUCAGGAAACCCAAUGUCUUUGUUUUUAAAUUCCUGCAUCAUCUGUGCUUCAGAGUAUUACAUUUUCCCCCACUAAUAGAGAACUUUUAGAAAAUAAAUAAUAGAGAAAAUUGGCCUGUAAUUCUAUCUCCUGAACAGAACCAUAGUUAAUGUUGAUGUUUGUCCUUCCAGUCAACUUACAUUUCUUUAAAAAUAGCUUUACAAUGUAGGUAUAUUUUUGUAUCUAACUUUAUACGUGUAACUAUAGCAUUUUCUAACCUUCAUAAUUUUAGUAGAAUUUAAAUAUAUUAUCAGUUACUAUUUGUUAAACAUUUUAGGCAGCUUCUAAUUUUUCUCAUUUCUAAGUUUGUAAUAUUUGGGGGCCUGUUGUUUUCCCCCUUUUAUCUUGUUAUAUUUGUGAUAUAAAAUCUUAUGAGUUGGAAAAAAAACACUAAAGGAUUUAAUUUUUUCAGCUCUAAAUAUCUAUUGUUAUUUUACUUUCCAAAAAACUAAACUUCCAGUUUAUCUUACUAUGCUAGCAUUGGUUGUAGGGAAGGGAGAGAAGGGGGUGACAUAGAGAGAGAGAAUUCGAGUGUAUAUAUUGAUACUUGCAUGUAGCUCAGGCUUUGGGGUCAGAUCUGGGUAUAAACCCUGGUUCUGUCACUAACUGUGAGACCUUGGGCAUAUUCCUUAUCCUGUCUGAGUCUACUCUCUCAUUUCUGAAAUAAGGUAAUACCACUAUUUAAAAUACCUCAAAGAGUUGUUAGGAGAUAAAUGAGAUUAUUCAUAUGGAACAUUUGCACAUAUUAAGCUUUCAAUAAAUGGUAGCUACUACUACUAACAAACUGGGUAAAAAUUGGGAAAUUAAAAUUGUAACCUCUACCCCAUCCUCCUAUUUUGCAUUGUAUUUUGCUUGCGUUAUUCAAAUGUAUUUCAGAUGUUUCUAGUCAGAAGAAACAGCAUGUGCAAAGGCUUGAGAAUGUGAAAAAAUGCAGUGUUGUUUGGAGGCUGCUAGGAUGUGACUGGACUGGUGAGAGAUAAAGCUGGAAAUAGAUUAGAGAGAGAGAUUUUUAGGGAUCAUUCUAAACUAAGUUAAGCACUUUGAACCUUACCUGUGCAACUCUGAAGAACUUUAAACAGAGUAAUUGACAUCAAUUUUUGAUGUGUGAUUUUUUUUUAGUUUAAUUUUUUAAAAAACAAAAAUAUCACAGCUUGCCAGUAGUAAAAAAGAAAGGAAACAAAACAAAAAUAGUGCAGACAGUGCAUAGGGUAGACUGCAGUAGAGAGGGACUGCUUACAGGAUUUUUACUUUGAUCCAAGAAUCUGGGAGAUAUGUUUGAGUUAACAGGAUAUACACUCAUUAGAGGGAUGAGAACUGUAGGUUUAUAGCCAUUAAUUAGCUUUUUUGAUUUUAGGUAAGUCAGUUAACAUGUCUGAGUCUCAUUUUCAUCUUCUCUAAUUUGAAGGCAUUGUAUACUAGAUUGCUGUUGCUCAGUGGCCAUUUGUAAGACCAUUUAUGCUUACAGUAAGACUGCAAUGUAUAUACAUUAAUAAGUGAAACCUAUUUUUACCCCAUGCGAACCAAAUUCACCGAAAUAUUAACUGUCUGAGAACUCUGGUUUUCAUUAUUAACCUCUUAAUUCAGCUCUUGGAGUGAUUUACAAAUGGAAUAAUUACCUCCAAUUCUAGGAUGUUACUUAACCCUAAGGAAAGAACCCCUCUGCCAGUUGAGCAUAACUCACCUCAGAAUAGAAACUUUCUUGAUAUUGAGAAGACAGGACAAAAAGUUUUCUAAAGGAAAUUUUCUAAGAGAUACUGAAUUUUGUGUGACUAUUUUUAGGAAUCCUUAUUGAGCAAAUUGCAUUAGCCCUGAAGGACUAUGGUUCUAACAUAUGAAUAUUUUACAAAUAGCAGUGAUAAGGAAAAAAAAUUAUUUGUAAAAAAUCUCACUAAAAUACAUUUUGAACCUCUUGUUUUCAUGCUCUUAUUUCACUCUUAUUGUACUGUUCCUGUAAUUACUAUAUAUUUUUUAAGAUUUUUAUUCUUUGAGAUGAGUCCAUGUUGCCCAGGCUGCUCUUGAGCUCCUGUGCUCAAGCAGUCCUCAUUCCUCAGCUACCCAAGUAGCUGGGAUUACAAAUGAGUGCCACCAGGCUCAGCUUACAUUCUUUUUUACAUUAACUUUGGCAACUUUACAUUGUCAGCAAGUGUUCAGAUAGACUUUUGCUGCCACAGGUUAAUAGAAUGUUAUUACAUUUUAGUUUAUAUUGCAUCUUAAUAAUAUCUGUCACGUUCCUUUAGUAAAGAGCUUCUGUUCUAAUCAGUUACUAUUUUGAAAGAUUAUAGAUUUAAAAAACGGUAGACUAAUGCUUUCUUUUUUUUCUUUGAACAUUUUUUUCUUUGAACAUUUUAUUGGACAAACAUAACCUACAUGUAAAAUGAAAGAAUCAAUGCAGAGGCACUCACAUUUCCUAAUAUAUAACUGUAGUUUUUAGUAUUUGCAUGAAUUAGCACACUUCUCACUGCUCUAUUAAUAAUGAUAUACUAAUCUUGAUAUACUAAAAUGAAUAAAUAGAAUGGAUAGUAAUUCUCACACUUCAAACUAGUGAUGAGUUAGUUGAUGUGGUUUAUUUUCUGGAACUAAACCAUUUUUUCUUAAGCGCCUUCUUAAAUCACAUGUGGACAUUAGAUUAGCAGUUACCUCAUUUGAUUACCCAUUAUAGUCCUUUAGGGCUCUUUGAUUUCUCUAGUAAAAAUUUUUAACUUGAGAUUUAUGGAACACCUACUCCACAAGGAUCUUCAGGGCAUUUUUUACCAAUUGAAAUUGUAUGAAAAAGUUUUUCAUUUCCGUGUGGGUAUUUUACUAGGAAGAGAGUUUAUAGCUUUUAGAAGAUUCCUAAAAGGGGUUAAAUGUUAAUGAUUAAAAAUCAGUGCUCAAAAAAUGUCUAUAAUCUGACAAGUUGUCCUGAUAAGACUGCAAAUUAAAUUGUACUAGGUGUACUAAUUACUAAAAAUUACAAAUGUUAAAAAAUAAAUAAAGUUACAAAUGUUAGUUGCCUGUUCUCACUUAGAAGUUUGCUAAUUUUUAGUUUGGUAGACUUAAAAUGAAAGAAAGAAAAAAGCCACACAAUUGUUUAGGUGCUCUUUAUUUUACUGCUUUAAUUCUUCUUGUCUACUCCUUUCAGUCUAGAUUCGUGUUUUCUAUUAUUUUAUAAUUAAAAAGUGAGGAAGAGAGAGUCUGUAACCUUAAGCAAGUAACUUUACCUCUCUUGUUUCCUCAUCUCUUAGAGGAAAAUAAUACCAGACUUCCUCACAAAGUUGUAAAACUCAAGUGAGAUUUUUGGCAGUAGACAAACUUUAAUUUACAUAACAUCACAUUUAUACAAUGUACAUCUAUUGUAUGUAGAACAGAUCAAUUGUAGUGAAGAAUUCCACAUUUAUCUGCUAAUGCAUAAUUAAAAGAGAAUGACUUCAUAAACACAUUAAUCUGCACAUAACGUCACAAAUAAUAUCACAAAUGACCUCACAGGUAAAUAAGAUUAUAAAGACAUCUUUUUUUCCCCAUCUAAGACUAUUAGAUCUGUUUAUGAAAAGAAAGUUUGAAUUGGGCUUAUGUAUGUCACCUAGGUAUAUUUAUACAUACAUUUUAUGAGAUUAUGCCAAGAUUAUUAAUUUACACCUUUGAACAAAUAUAAAACAUGUUCACCUUUUAACGUGAGCUUUUUAGAAAGCAUUGUUUGGGUAAAAUAUCUCUAAUUUGAAAUAAAAGGACUAAAUCCAUAAUUUGUGUAUGAUUUCACAGUCUGUUAAAAAUGAGUAUUUUUACUCAUUUUUACUGGUGCUUGAUUUUAAUGGUGCUUGAAUCAAGCACCAUUUACUGGUGCUUGAUUCUGAGUGUAGUUAUAGAGACUUUAAAAAAAAAGAAUGUGCUGGCCACGGUGGCUUACACCUGUAAUCCCAGCAGUUCGGGGGGCUGAGGUGAGAGGAUUGUUUGAGUCCAGCAGUUUAAGAACAGUCUGGGCAACAUAGCGAAACCCCCCAUUUCCAAGAAAAUUUUAAAAAUUAGGCAUGGUGGCACACACCUGUAAUCCCAGUUACUUGGAAGGCUGAGGUACGAGAAUCCUGUGAGCCCAGGAUUUUGAGGCUACAGUGAGCUAUGAUUGCUCCACUGUAUUCUGAGUGAUAGAAUGAGACCCCAUCUUUUACAGCUUUAAAAAUAAAUAGAUAAAUAAAAAAAGUAAAAGAAUAUGAAAUAAAAUUUGUAUGUGAUAUAGGUAAAAAGAAAAAUAUGUUAAGCUAUUUAAUUAUACAUUUGCUAUUUUUAUUUUUUAUAUUUGCUAUUUUUAUUAAUGAAAAAUUCCUGUAGUGUACAACCAUUGUAUUACUUACUACUCUGCAUUACCACAUAAGUUUUUUGUUGUAGUAAUCUUGAAAACAAGAGCCUUACAUGGAAAACUUAGUAGGUCAGUUGUUAAGAAAAGAGAGUGACUACAUUUUUGAGUGGGCAGUUACACACAUGGGUGCUUUUCAGUCGGAUUCUUUUUUCUGUUUUGUUUUAGUGCAUAAGGUUCAGUUUUCAUCCUUCUCAAAAUAAAUGGGCAAACAGUUUUACUGCACUGUUUGUUAAUUAGAUGUUUUUACCUCAUUAUGAAGGCUGUGUAUAAAAACAAAACACCUUCAUCCUAAGUCUUUUAAAAUUUAGAAGGCAUGUUUCUUAUGUAGACUAUAAGUUAAUAACCGGCACUUUUUAAGUGUUUUCUUCCUCAUAUUCUGAAGUGAUUGAAAUGUAGUAUUUUAAAUAAGAAGAAGAGUUUUUCUCAUUUAUUUCUGUAAAAUAUACCUGAAUUCUGACCUGAGACUUCCCAGAUUCUUCCCAUCAAAGAUACCUCCUGAAUAGAAUAUUCCAACUGACACGGAAUUCUAGGCAAUAUGUUUUGUGUGUAUUUGUUUUUAAUAGAGUAGAUGGCAUAUUUAAUUGAGUGAAUGGAUUCCAAUCAUCUGAAUAUGAGGUCCUAGGGAUAAGAAAUUACUUUAUUAAAUUGACCUGUUCUCUCUCCCCAUCCAAUUACAGUUUAAAAUGUAUAUAUAUUUUUAUUUGAUGUGUUAUUUAAACAGUCUUACCUUAUAAAAUAACAUGAUUCACUAGGAUAAGUCUGUACUCAUAGUUUUUAGGAAAACAGAAGUAUUUGUUUCUGUUCUUCCUCCCAAAUAUGCAAGUGUUUAGUGUAUACCUAUAUGUGCACAUAACUUAAAUUUUUGAAAAACCAUAUGCAUUCAUUCAUUGAAAGUAGUAGUAUUCAAUGUCACCAGAGUACUUUUUUUUUUUUUUUGAAAGACAGAUUCUUGCUCUGUUGCCCAGUGGCACAAUCUGGGCUUACUGAAACCUCUGCCUCCCGGGUUCAAGCGAUUCUCCUGCCUCAGCCUCUCGAGUAGCUGGGAUUAUAGGUGCCCGCCACCAUGCCUAGCUAAUUUUUUGUAUUUUUAGUAGAGUCAGGAUUUCACUGUGGUAGCCAGGAUGGUCUCGAUCUCCUGACCUCGUGAUCUGCCCGCCUGAGCCUCCCAAAGUGCUGGGAUUACAGGCGUAAGCCACUGCGCCUGGCCCCAGAGUACAUAAUUUCUUAACACUUUAUUUUAUUUCCUUGUCCUCCUCCAUUUCUUUUCUCUUUGAAAAUGUUUUAGAUAGUUUGGAGGUUCACAUUUAGGCAGAAAGAGUGACAGAUAACUGCUCUACACUCUAGUUUAAUUUGUUAAGACUCCUUUUGAGAGAAAAAUUAACAUCAGCCAUGCAAGAGGAACUCUUAAUGGUUAUUAGUUUAGCAUUUGAGAUGAAAUGUUAAUGAAGAAAGAGCAUGUAACAAAUUUUUUGUUGUUUAUGCCUUCCCUUGAUUAUUACUACCAGUUUUCACUACUCCCAGUAAAGCACAUCCAGAAGAAAUGUACUUAAGAUAUACUAGCCCUGUAAUUUUUAAUUUCAUCCAGUUGUAAUUUUUUAUAACUUCCCUUGAUAUUUUGUUUGACCUUUGGGUUAUUUAUUUGGCACAUAAUAAUUGUAUAUAUUUAUGGAGUUCACAGGGUUGUUGCAAUACAUAUAUAUGGUGAUCAGAUCAGAGCAAUUAGCAUAUCCAUAUUUCUCAUCUCAGAAAGAAUAAAUAUUUAUUAUUUCUUUGUGUUGGAAACAGUCGAUAUUCUCCUUCUAGCUAUUUGAAACUAUAUAUUAUUGUUAACUAUAGUCAUCCUACAGUGCUGUACAACACUAGAACUUACUCCUCCUAUCUAGCUGUAAUUGUGUAUCUUUUAACAAAUCUCCCCAUCCCCCUAGCCUUUGCAUUAUUUAGAAGUGUGUUGUUUAAUAUCCAAAUUUGAGGGUUCUCCAAGUAUCUGCAUUUUAAGUUUAAAGUUUGUUUCAUAGUCUCAAAUAUAGUCUAGCUUGGUAAAUGUUUCAUGUGCACUUGACAAUAAUGUGAUUUUAUUAGUUAGAUUGCUCUAUAAAUGUCAGUUAGGUCAAGUUGGUUCAUAGUGAUUUGCAUUUUUCUAUUUCUGCCUAAUUUUCUUUCUGGUUGAUGUAUCAACGAGAGUGGCAGUAUUGAAAUUUCCAACCGUUAGUUGUUCAGUUAAUUAUUUCUCCUUACAAAUGUCAGUUUUUGCUUUUUGGGUGUAUGCUCUGUUGUUUGGCGUACAUACAUUUAUAUUUUUAUAGCUUCUUGAUGUGUAUUGACUCUUUUAUCAUUAUGAAAUAUCCCUUUUUUUCUCUGAUAAUGUUUUUGAUCAUAAAGUCUGUUUUGUCUGACAACAUAGCCAUUCCAGCUUUUUUAUAGUUACUGUUUAUAUGGUAUAUUGUCUUCCUACCUUUUAAUUGCAACCUAUUUUUGUCUUCAAAUGUAAAUUAUAUGUGGAAUUGUUGGAUUUUUUUUGUUUCUUCAAUCUGAUAAUUCCUGCCUUUUGAUUGGGGUGUUUAAACCAUUCCCAUUUGAUGUAAAUAAUGUUUUGUUUUGAUUUACAGUGCCAUUUUGCUAUUUGUUUUCUAUGAGUGCCUUUUUUAUUUCUGUGGUCGUCUUUCAUUACCUUCUGACUUUUUAAUGUCCCAUUUAAAUUUAAUUUAAUUUUGUUUUGUUUUAUUUCUUUAGUAGUUGCUGUAGGUAUUACAAUUUGCAUCUUAAUCACAAUUUACAUCAGAUUAAUACUAAUGUAAUAUUUGGUAAACUAUAGAAACUUCAGUUUAAUACCACUACCUUCCUUGCUGCCUGUUUGGUGCUAUUUUUCAUAAAUAUGACAGCUACUAAAAAUCCUUACUGGUUUUCUCCCUACUUGUUCUGCCAUAAAAGAGACAGAGAACUAUGGAGUUCCUCAACUGUAAUUGUGUUUUUUCUCUUUUUCCUUUGAAACAUAUGCAUUUUGCUUCAUGUAUUCAGUGCAUUAUUGUGCAUAUUAGACCGUUAUUUCUUCUUGAGGAAAAAACCGUUUAUUGUGAGGUAAUAUCCCCCUUUAUUCGUGAUAUUUAUUGUCCUGAAGUCUAUUUUCUCUGAAAUUAAUAUAGCUUCCAGCUAUUUUUGCUUAGCAUUUGCAUUAUAUGUUUUUCUCCAUGUUUUUACUUUUAAUCUAUCUAUCUCUUUGUUUGUAAAGUAGGUUACUUAUAGAUAGCAUAUAGUUAGGCUUUGUUUUGCCAUUUAAUGCAUGUGUGAUUAUAUUUGUAUUAAAAUAUAUCUUCAUGCCUACUACAUAUUUUUCCGUUCAUUUUCUGCCUUUUUUCAGAUUUCAUAGACUGUUCCUUAUGAUUUGUGUCACCUCUUUUGACUUAUUAUUUAUACCUUUCUUCAAAAUUUCUCAGUGAUUGCCCUAGAGCUUACAUUAUGCCUUUAAAGUAAUCUGAAGCUUUCUUAAGUAAUAUUGUACUGCUUCAAGGGUGGUAUAAGAACCUUACAACAGUGUAUCCUGAAUUUCUUCAUACUAUCCUUUGUGCUAUUAUUUUUAUGUAUUUUACUUUUACAUGUGUUACAACACACAAUAAAAUGUUGCUACUUUUGCGUUAAAUAGUUAUCUUUUAGAGAAGUUAAAAAUAAGAAAAAAUGAAUAUUAUUUUAUCUUCAGUUGUCUUCAUUUAUUUGUAUAAAUCCAAGAUGCUGACCUGCAUCACAUUCCUCAUAACUUCCCGUAACAUUUUCUGUAGGGUAAUUUGCAGACAGUGAAUACCCUCAGCUUUUGUUUGAGAAAAAUAUUUAUUCUUCCUUUUUGAAAGAUGUUUUUGCUAGGUAUUGAACUCUGGAUUGACAAGUUAUACCAUUGUCUUCUUGCUGACAUAGUUUCUCAAGAGAAGUCUGAUGUAAUUCUUAUCUCUGUUCCUCUGUAUAUAAUAUGUCUCCUUUUUUUCUCUCUUAAAGAUUUUAUCUUUGAUUUUUCAGCAGUUUCUAUAUGAUAUGUUGAGAUGUUGGUUCAUCUUGCUUGGUGUUCUCUGAACUUCUUGAAUAGGGAUUUGGUCUCUGCUCUUAAGUUUGGGGAAUUCUCAGUUGUUAUUUCUUCAAAUAUUUCUUCUGCUACCUUUUCUCUUCACCUGGAAUUCUAAUUAUUAUGGGUGUCUUAGCCCGUUUGAUACUGUUUCAUAGCUCUUAGAUGCCUAUUUUGUUUUGUUUUUAUACUCCUUAGUUCUUUGUAUUUUAUUUUGGGUGAUUUCAUUUCUACAUUCAGUCUCA